CUCUGUUGUUAGAAGAACAACCUGCCGUUCGUUAAUAGGGUGGUACCUUGACGGUACCUAACCAGAAAGCCACGGCUAACUACGUGCCAGCAGCCGCGGUAAUACGUAGGUGGCAAGCGUUGUCCGGAAUUAUUGGGCGUAAAGGGCUCGCAGGGGUUCCUUAAGUCUGAUGUGAAAGCCCCCGGCUCAACCGGGGAGGG
rnacentral:rRNA from 1 species